UACGUAGGGCGCAAGCGUUGUCCGGAAUUAUUGGGCGUAAAGAGCUCGUAGGCGGCUUGUCACGUCGGGUGUGAAAGCCCGGGGCUUAACCCCGGGUCUGCAUUCGAUACGGGCUAGCUAGAGUGUGGUAGGGGAGAUCGGAAUUCCUGGUGUAGCGGUGAAAUUCGUAGAUAUCAGGAGGAACACCGGUGGCGAAGGCGGCUAUCUGGACGGUCACUGACGCUGAGAUGCGAAAGCGUGGGGAGCAAACAGG
rnacentral:rRNA from 1 species